rnacentral:rRNA from 1 species
UGGGGAAUAUUGCACAAUGGGCGCAAGCCUGAUGCAGCCAUGCCGCGUGUGUGAAGAAGGCCUUCGGGUUGUAAAGCACUUUCAGCGAGGAGGAAGGUGGUGAGCUUAAUACGCUCAUCAAUUGACGUUACUCGCAGAAGAAGCACCGGCUAACUCCGUGCCAGCAGCCGCGGUAAUACGGAGGGUGCAAGCGUUAAUCGGAAUUACUGGGCAAGNAACGCAGCGGUCUGAUGUCAGUUGAAUCCGGAACCCGUCAACCUGGGAACUGCAUUUGAAAACUGGCAAGCUAGAGUCUCGUAGAGGGGGGUAGAAUUCCAGGUGUAGCGGUGAAAUGCGUAGAGAUCUGGAGGAAUACCGGUGGCGAAGGCGGCCCCCUGGACGAAGACUGACGCUCAGGUGCGAAAGCGUGGGGCAGCAAACAGGAUUAGAUACCCUGGUAGUCCACGCUGUAAACGAUGUCGAUUUGGAGGUUGUGCCCUUGAGGCGUGGCCUCCGGAGCUAACGCGUUAAAUCGACCGCCUGGGGAGUACGGCCGCAAGGUUAAAACUUAAAUGAAUUGACGGGGUC